rnacentral:tRNA from 1 species
UCCUCGUUAGUAUAGAGGACAGUAUCUCCGCCUGUCACGCGGAAGACCGGGGUUCGAUUCCCCGACAAGGAG